AAUAUCCGAACCAGAUCCGAAAUAACCGAAUCCGAACAAAAAAUACCCGAACCCGUCCCGAAGUACAGAAAUACCCGAACGGGUUCUACACCUCUAUACCGAAAUACCCGAAAAUCCGAAAUACCCGACCCGAACCCGAACGGGUACCCAAGGCUAAACUAAAUCGAUAAUUAUUAUCCCCUAGCUAUAUAUGGGCUUAACGAAAUCGACAAUAGUUUUGGGCUUGUCUACAUAAGCGAUUGAUUAAAAUAAAUGAAAAAAAAAAUUCAAAAAAACCAGCCAAUAGAAUUAUAACGUUUUUCCUGAGAAGCUCUAUA
rnacentral:lncRNA from 1 species